rnacentral:tRNA from 1 species
UCAAUAAAAAAUUUUAAUUAUUUCUAAUUUCCAAAAUUAGUAUUUUAAACUUAAAUUAUUUAUUG